rnacentral:rRNA from 1 species
CCCCAGUCCCUGAACGCAAGUUUGGGGGACGUGGAGGCCUCGGCCAAAGCGGAUCUUUUAAAGCAUGCACCGAGAAAAACUCAAAGGAAUACUAAGGCGCCCGUACCGGAAACCGACACAGGUGGGUGGGCAUGAAUGUGCCAAGGCGCGUGAGUGAAACCUCGUUAAGGAACUCUGCAAUCUAGCCCCGUAACUUCGGAAGAAGGGGUGCCCACUUUUAGUGGGUCGCAGUGAAAUGGGUGUACCGACUGUUUAUCAAAAACACAGCACUCUGCUAGGUCGUAAGACAACGUAUAGGGUGUGACACGUGACCAAUGCGGAAAGAUUACGGUAAGUGGUUAGCGCAAGCGAAGCUACGAGCCCAAGUCCCCGUGAAUGUCGGCCGUAACAAUAACGGUCCUAAGGUAGCGAAAUUCCUUGUCGGGUAAGUUCCGACCUGCACGAAUCGUGUAACGAGUGCACCGCUGUCUCAACGAGGAGCUCAGCGAAGUUGUAAUGGCGGUGAAGAUGCCGCCUACCCGCAGCAGGACGGAAAGACCCUAUGCACCUUUACUGUACGCUGUUACUGUGUUUUCGAUUUUCAUGCUUAGCGUAAGUGGGAGACUUUGAAGCCAUUCUUUCGUGAUGGCCGAGUCGUCAAUGAAACACCACCCUUGGAAAUUGGAAACUCUAACCCUCGCCCAUCAACUGGGGAGGGGACACUGGCAGCCGGUCAGUUUUACUGGGGCGGUAUCCUCCCAAAGAGUAACGGAGGAGUACGAAGUUUGGCUCAACCUGGUUGGCAAUCAGGUGACGAGUACAUGGAUAUAAGCCAGACUAACUGUGAGACCUACAAGUCGAGCAGAUGCGAAAGCAGGUCCAAGUGAUCCGGUGGUUGAAAGUGGAAUCGCCAUCGCUCAACGGACAAAAGGUACGCUAGGGAUAACAGGCUGAUCGAGUCCAAGAGCUCAUAUCGACGACUCGGUUUGGCACCUCGAUGUCGGCUCAUCACAUCCUGGGGCUGGAGAAGGUCCCAAGGGUCCGGCUGUUCGCCGGUUAAAGUGGUACGCGAGCUGGGUUCAGAACGUCGCGAGACAGUUCGGUCCUUACCCGCUGUGGGCGCAGGAAAGUUGAGGGGUUUAAACCUUAGUACGAGAGGACCGGGUUUAACGAACCUCUGGUGUUCCAGUUGUCGUGUCAACGGCAGUGCUGGGCAGCUACGUUCGGAAGAGAUAAGCGCUGAAAGCAUCUAAGCGCCAAGCUCCUCCCAAGAUUGACUUUCCCUGAAGAGUCGUGGUAGACCACCACGUUGAUAGGCCAUAGGUAUAAGCGCAGUAAUGCGUUGAGCUUAGUGGUACUAAUAACUCGUCCGGCUUGAUCGA